rnacentral:rRNA from 1 species
GGCUCAGGAUGAACGCUAGCUACAGGCUUAACACAUGCAAGUCGAGGGGCAGCAUUGGGAUAGCUUGCUAUUCAGAUGGCGACCGGCGCACGGGUGAGUAACGCGUAUCCAACCUUCCUGCCAGUAGGGAACAGCCCGGCGAAAGUCGGAUUAAUGCCCUAUGUUCUUCAAUGCGGACAUCUAAGUUGAAGGAAAGAUUCAUCGCUGGCAGAUGGGGAUGCGUCCGAUUAGCUUGCCGGCGGGGUAACGGCCCACCGGGGCGACGAUCGGUAGGGGUUCUGAGAGGAAGGUCCCCCACACUGGUACUGAGACACGGACCAGACUCCUACGGGAGGCAGCAGUGAGGAAUAUUGGUCAAUGGGCGUAAGCCUGAACCAGCCAAGUAGCGUGCAAGGAUGAAGGUUCUAUGGAUUGUAAACUUCUUUUGUCCGAGGGUAAAAAAGGCCACGUGUGGCUUCUUGCAAGUAUCGGACGAAUAAGCAUCGGCUAACUCCGUGCCAGCCGCUGC